rnacentral:rRNA from 1 species
UGGGGAAUAUUGGGCAAUGGGCGCAAGCCUGACCCAGCCACGCCGCGUGAGUGAUGAAGGCCUUCGGGUCGUAAAGCUCUGUGGAGAGGGACGAAUCAACCGCCGGCUAAUAUCCGGCGGUCCUGACGGUACCUUUUUAGCAAGCACCGGCUAACUCCGUGCCAGCAGCCGCGGUAAUACGGAGGGUGCAAACGUUGCUCGGAAUUAUUGGGCGUAAAGCGCACGUAGGCGGUCCGGCAUGUCGGGUGUGAAAGCCCUCGGCUUAACCGAGGAAGUGCAUUCGAAACUAUCGGACUUGAAUACUGAAGAGGGUCUCGGAAUUCCCGGUGUAGAGGUGAAAUUCGUAGAUAUCGGGAGGAACACCAGUGGCGAAGGCGGAGACCUGGGCAGAUAUUGACGCUGAGGUGCGAAAGCGUGGGGAGCAAACAG